rnacentral:tRNA from 1 species
GGUGGCUCAGUGCUAGAGCACUUGCCUAGCAUGCAUGAGGCCCUGGGUUCGAUUCCUCAGCACCA